GUUCUUUUUUCAUUGAAACAUACCCUGUUUGCCUUGUUCCUUAGUUGCAUUUCCAUAUUCCAUUUGGAUAUGCUCAUUCUCUUCUUAGCAAAAUGAAAAACUUAUCUUUACUUUGUUUUGGGAGUCCGUAUUCUGCUAGAUGUAGAGCGUGUCUUUCUAUUUGACCUUUUGCUUAUGCCAGCAAAAUUCAGAAUAUAAAACAAGUACUGGCUGUUGAGUUCCAUCCUCUAUUUUGAAGUCCGUUGUGUAAACAGAAUUGUGAUAUUCUGCUAUGUUAAUACUAAAGUAUCAAGAAGUGAGGGAAUUGAUGAAAAUAUCUCCUCUACUAUAUCUACUUAAUGUCCUUAGAAGUAUUUGAUUACAGAAUAGAAACUGACAUAUAUGUUCCAUAUAGUGUGAUUCUGUAAAAUUAUAGUAUUACCUAUGUAAGAUAACAGAUCGACUUUAACAACUUAAUUUUUUUUAUAACAGGAGGUAGCAAACAGCCUUGCCAAACUGAGUGUCCAUGCUCUGAGUCGCCUUGGAGGGUAUUUGGCUGAAGAACAAGCAACUCCAGAAAAUCCAACCAUAAGGAAAAGCUUAGCUGGCAUGCUGACACCCUAUGUUGCUAGAAAACU
rnacentral:lncRNA from 1 species